rnacentral:lncRNA from 1 species
AAGAUGAGGAGGUGGCAGAGAUUCAGGCCAGAGUUGUGGGCCGCCGUCGGCAGCAAGAACAGAGAGAGAGGUGGACAGAUCUGAGAGAUACUGAGUCCCUGCACUAGGUCAGACAAUCCCCUUUGGGGUACAGGAAACAAAGCAGGAGGAGUUUGAGGUCCCUACACUGCAGCAGAAGAAGAGGAAGGAGUGGGGCCUGAAUUGACCAUAAAGGAUGUAGGGGCCACGUUGUUCCACUGUAAUGUCAAGGAGGGGGUGGCCAUUGUUUGUCCCAGCCUGGGGCUCCCCCUCUGGUUUCCUAUUUGUAGUUACUAGAAUGAAAAAAAAACAUGAUAGAUAAAUAAAUAAUCCACUGGCAGAGAUCAGAGAGGUUCAAUCUGGAUCAUUAAGAAUGAAUUGGGGCCGGGCGCCGUGGCUCACGCCUGUAAUCCUAGCACUUUGGGAGGCUGAGGCAGGCGGAUCACCUGAGGUCAGGAGUUUGAGACCAGCCUGGCCAAACCCCAUCUCUACCAAAUAUACAAAAAUUAGCCAGGUGUGGUGGCCCACGCCUGUAGUCCCAGCUACUCAGGAGACUGAGACAUGAGAAAUGCUUGAACCUGUGAGGCAGAAACUCCGUCUCAAAAGAAAAAAAAGGCUGGGUGCAGUGGCUCACUCCUGUAGUCCCAGCACUUUGGGAGGCCAAGGCAGGUGGAUCACCCGAGGUCAGGAGCUCGAGACCAGCCUGGCUAACAUGGUGAAACCUACAAAAAUUAGCCCAGCAUGGUGGCAGUUGUCUGUAAUCCCAGCUACUCUGUAGGCUGAAGCAGGAGGAUCACUUGAACCUAGGAGGUGAAGGUUGCAGUGAGCCAAGAUCGUGCCACUACACUCCAGCCUGGGGGAUAGAGUGAGACUCUGCCUGCAAAAAAAU